UUUUUAGAUGUUGAUUAUUUUACUAUUUCUUUAUUGUUUACCAUAGUUUACAUUAUACUUCAAAUUAUUAAAUUGUCAUGUAAAUCAGGACUGUUAGCACUUUGCAGACACUUUAUUUCUCUAAUAUCUUUUUACAUAUUGUUAUUGUUGUCAUUUAAAUCUACUUAUAUUUAAACACCAUGCAACAUCAUCGUUAUCGUCACAACAGUUAAUAUCCAAUUAUAUUUAUCCAAGUAUUUUUUUCUUUUUUCUUGAUCCUUAUUCUUUCCUUUGUUUACCUCUAUCUUAGAUCGUUUUUCUUUUUCCUAAAGAUCCUAUUUGAGGUCUUUUGUAUCUGUCUAAAAAUAUCUUCAUUUCAACUUAUUUUUUUUGAAGCACAUUAUUUUUGGUUUGUUAUAGUAAAAUAAUUGUUAGGAGUUUUUUUAUUGCUCUGUAAAGCAUUUUUACAAUUGACAUUGGGCUUUCUUCUCUCUCUCCUCUCUCUGUCUCUCUCUGUGUGUGUGUAUGUGUGUGUUUGAAUUUGCUAUUAGUAUUAUAGAUAGCACUUUAUAAGCAGUGCUCCUUUUUUCUUUGGUUGAUUUUUAAAGAUUUUGUAUUUGUUUUUGACAAUCAAGAUUUUUACAUAAUUUGUCUAAAUUUUUUGGGUUUUUUUUUUGCUCUGUUUUAUUUUGCCCCAUAUUUAUAUCACUUUUUGAAUCUGUGGCAUGUUUUAAGUCAGUUUUGGAAAACAUGCAUAUCUCUUCAAGUUUUCUGUUCUCCUUCCUAUUUCUUCUCCUCCUUCAAAAAUGAGGGUACUUUAAUUUUUUUUUAACUUUAUCUCAUGUUCUCUUUGGUGGUUUCUUGUAUUUUCUGUUUGGAUUAUUUACAUAACAGCUUUGUGAAGUUUACAAGUUGCCAAAUAACUUGAAAGAAAUAUCAGUACAGCAAUGUAACCACUGUAUAAGUAAGAACUUGGUCUAGAUGCAUCAGUGGUGUCAUAUAUUUGCAGCUGCCUUCUUGAAUCACAGCCGUUGCUGAUCAUAUACUGGAGUGAUCGUUCUUGGAGGAAAAGUGACAUUUGGGAAAUGACUGGAUUCUGGUUCUGAGGUAUUGCUUGCAUUUUAUAAUCCAGGAAACCAAAUGGUCCUUCCCUCAGAAUGGGCAUCAUUGAAUUAAGAAAAGGAAUGUAAUUUGGACACAAAUCUCUCUUGCCAUACAUUCUUGAAGUUGUGCUAUGAAAAUGCAUCCACUCUGAGUAUUCUCACAAUUCUGGGAUAUUUGUCAGAAGAAAAUGUUUCUGACAUUUAAAUCUACUUAGCUUGUUUCAUGGGUCAGUGAAAAAAGCAUAGGAAUCUUGAAAGAAUAACAAUGUAUUAUUAUAAAUAUAAUUAGGUGAUAAAAGUAAUAUAUGAUGCUUUUCAGUUGUCUCAUAUAAUGGAGCAAAUCAGUCUACAUCAUUUUGUGUGUUUCACAACCUCUGAGCUGGCCAAUAAGCAGAAAAUAAUACUCAAUAUAAGUUUCAGCCUGUAAGAGACAGGGACACAUCCUCAUUCUUUAUCCUUAAAUCCAAUAAAAAUGUAUGCUUCUCUGUUAUAAUUUAGUUGCAUACUUUCUUAUACUUGCAUUUAUGUUGAUGACAUCCAGAUUAUGUAACCUGAGGAACAGUGAGUAAAGAGUAGUUGAGAAGACUCAGUAAGAUCCAUGCAUGUUAAAAGAUAAGAGUAAAGUGUUACAAAAAUCUGAGGAACUAUAUAACUGCAGUUUUUAGAGUAUCAGAAGUCUUGAGCAUGCCAGUAUACUCUUCCUAAAAUUAAAAGAAAAAAAAAAAGCAAGUACUAUUUUUUUUGUCUAUCUGAGCACAAUAGCCAGUGACCCCAUUGAAUUUUGGAGGAUAAAUAUACCACCUCAUAUGCAUGGACCUAGCUCAUAAGAUUUCUAGAUUUUUGGGAAAAUGGCCAAGAGGAAAGUGAAUUUCUCCAGGCAUUUCAGACCAUGAUGCAAGCAGCUCUGACCUUGAGUAAAUACAAUGUUGUUUGAAGUAUCUGUGGCAGAUCAGGUUGCCUUAUGAAGACUGAAACAAUUAUAACAGGAAAACUAUAUAAUAUGUUUCUAGAAUUUUAUAGCAAAAACUUUUUUUUCUAUAAACUUUUUAUUCUUAUUUUGAGAAACAGUUGCUAUACUGUUGUUGAGAUAAACUGAACACUAGAUCUUACAACAUCAGAAUCUAUACAAAAUGACCUCCCUAUCAUGAUUUAAGGGUUCUCUGAUACAGCAAACCAUAAAGUUGAGUAUGUGCAGCAGUGCUCCAUCUCCAUUGAAAACACAUACAAAGAAAGGCAUUUGUUUCAAUUCCUAAAAACACAAGUAAUGUACAUGAGCACGUGAUUGGUUUAUCUAAUCCUCUUAUAUCAGUAGUACUUUCACAUUUUCCUCAUGUACAUACUCAUGAAUCUGUGCAAAUAUCCAGUUUCCUAAGGAAGGAAAAAGUCCUGGUUUAUAGACAGUUUCAAGUGAUAUAUUGGCACUAGCGAGGAGCAAUAAGCCUCUUUUUUGUAAUUCCCUCCAGUGAGUAGAAUUUUCAGACUUUAAACUAAGGAUGAUAUUACUGAAAAUUUUUUUAAAAAAUGGAAAGCUGGAAAAUAAAUGCCUUAAAUGAAGAUUUAAACUUGAUUUUCAUUAAUAUUUGUAGAUGUAUUAUUAUAAUUAUGGUGAAUAAUAUUGUUCAAAGUUGAUUUAUGAAGUUUAUGUAUUAAGAGAAAAAUUAGCAAGUCACAUAAAAGGAUAAAUAAAUAAAAAUGAAAAAAUCAUUAAUCCUGAAUAAAAUGUACAGGAAAAGAAAUAUAGCUAUACGUGAAUGAGACAACUCACAAUUAUUCAGUGAUAUUAUCAUCAAUUUGACUUAUAGAUUCUCAAUGCAGUGGACUACUUUAUAGCAUUUGACAGUUUAGUUUAAUUUUUAAAUAAAAAUUAGAAAAAAACCCAAAAUCUAACCCAUACUGAAAAUAAGAAUAUAUCUAAAUGCUAUACCUUGCAGUUGUACAUAUUGUAAGGCACACGUGAUACUCUGAUACAAGCAAAUGUAUUUAUGUAUAAUAAAUCAAGGUAAUUGGGAUAUCCAUAGCCUCAAGCAUGUAUCUUUUUUGAGUGUUAGAAAUGUUCCAAUUCUGCUCUUCUGGUUAUUUUGAAAUAUACAAUAAAAUAUUAACUGUAUUUGCCCUAUUGUGUCACAAAACACUGGAUCUUACUCCUUUUAACUACAUUUUUCUACCUGUUAAUCAUCCCUUCUGUAUCUCUCCCUCACCACGACCCUUCCCAGCCUCUGAUAACUGUCAUUCUACUCUCUAUAUCUAGGUGUUCAAUUUUUUGUUAGCUCCCACAUAUACAUAAGAACAUGCAAUUUUUUUUUUCUGUUUGUGGCUUAUUUCACUUAACAUAAUGCCCUCCAAUUCUAACUAUGUUGUUGCAAAUGAAGUGAUCUCAUUUGUUUUUUAUUGCUGAAUAUGGUUUUAUAUUUUUUAUCUCAUUCAUUUUUAUGUUUCCAUUGUGUAUAUAUGCCAAAUUUUCUGUGUCAAGUCAUCUAUUGAUAGACACUUAUGUUGAUUCCAUACCUUGGCUAUUAUGAAUAAUGCUGCAAUAAACAUCAGAGUAUAGAUAUUUAAUAUGUUCAUUUCAUUUUUUAAAAAAUAUAUAGCUAUCAGUGACAUUGCUGGGUUAUAUAGUAGUUCUACUUUUUGUUUGAAGGGAAACUUUAUACUGUGCUUCACGUGGCUGUACCUAUUCACACUCCCAUUAAUAUUGUAAGAGGGAUGCCCUUUCUCCACAUUCUUGCCAGCAUCUAAUAUUGCCUGUCUUUUUGAUAAAAGCCAUUUAACUUGGGUGAGAGAUGAUCUCAUUGUAGCUUCAAUUUUUAUGUCUCUGAUGAUUUGUGAUGUUGAGCAUUUUUUAUAUGUCUGUUGGUCAUUUGUAUGUCUUCUUUUGAGAAAUUUGUAUUCAUACAUUUUGCCUAUUUUAAAUUGAAUCAUUAUGGUUUUUUCCUUAUUAAAGUGUUUGAAUUCUGUAUAUACUCUGGUUAUUAAUCUCUUGUCAGAUGUGUAGUUUGAAAACCAACCUUAAUGUCCUCAAUCUCAUUACCAUUUUACUUUCUAGCUUUAUGAAUUGUACUACUUGAAGUAGCUCAUAUAUGCAGAAUCAUACAAUAUUGCCUUUUUGUCACUGACAUUUCACUUAGCAUAACGUUCUUGUUUUAUCAGUGUGAUAUCAUAUGUCAGGAAUUUUUAUUUUUUAAUAUUUAUUGGUACAUAGGUGUAUAUAUUUAUAGGGCAUAGGGAAUAUUUUGAUACAGGCAUACAAUGUGCGAUAAUAACAUCAGAAUAAAUGAGAUACCUAUCACCUCAAGCAUUUAUCCUUUGUAUUACAAACAAUGCAUUACAUGUAUACAUCACAUUUUGCUUCUCCAUCAAUCUACUGAUGAAUAUUUAGUUUCUUCGACAUUUUAGUUUAUGUUAAUAAGGUAGAAAUGAACAUGUGUAUAAAAAUAUCUCUUAGAGACUCUCCUUUUAUUUAUUAUUUAUUUAUUUAUUUAUUUUUGAGACAGAAUCUUGCUCUGUGGCCCAGGCUGGAGUACAGUGGCGCAGUCUCGGCUCACUGCAACUUCUGCCUCCCGGGUUCAAGAGAUUCUCCUGCUUCAACCUCCCAAGUAGCUGGGAUUACAGGUGCCCGCCAACAUGUCCUGCUAAUCUUUGUAUGUUUAGUAGAGACGGGUUUCACCAUGUUGACCAGGCUGGUCUCGAACUCCUGACCUAAAGUGAUCCAACCAUCUCAGCCUCCCAAAGUUCUGGGGUUACAGGCAUGAGCCACUGCACCUGGUCUUAAAUCUUUUAUCUAUGUAUACUCAGAAAUGGAAUUGUUGGAUAAUAUAGUAAUUCUAUUUUCUAAUUUUUGAGGAACCACAAUAUUGUUUUCCAAAGUAGCUACACCAUUUUAGACUUCUACCAAUAAUGCACAGGGUUCCCGUUUCUCCACACCCUCACCACCAUUUGCUAUUUUCUGUGUAUGUGUGUUUGUGUGUGUUUCACAGUAACCAUAAUGGGUUUGAAGUGAUAUCAAAUUGUGUUUUUGAUUUGCAUUUUCCUAAGAAGUGAUGUUUAUGUACUUAUUGGUCAUUUGUAUAUAUUCUUUGAAGAAACAUUUUAGGAGUUUUACAUAAGUUCUGAAUAUUAAUUCCUUAUCAGAUAAAUGAUUUACAAAUAUUUUCUCCCAUUUUGUGAAAUGCUUUUUUACUCUGUUAAUAGUGUCUUUGAUAAAAACAAUUGUUUAAUUAUUUUGAAGUCCAAUUUAUGUAUUUUUCUUCUUUUGUUGUCUAUACUUUUGAUGUUAC
rnacentral:lncRNA from 1 species